UGCCAGCCGCCGCGGUAAUACGGAGGGUGCAAGCGUUAUUCGGAUUUACUGGGCGUAAAGGGUGCGCAGGCGGUUUGGUAAGUCUGAUGUGAAAGCCCACGACUCAAUCGUGGAAGUGCAUUGGAUACUAUCAGACUAGAGUAUUGGAGGGGAGAACGGAAUUCCUGGUGUAGAGGUGAAAUUCGUAGAUAUCAGGAGGAACAACGGCGGCGAAGGCGGUUCUCUGGACAAUAACUGACGCUGAGGCACGAAAGCGUGGGGAGCGAACAGGAUUAGAUA
rnacentral:rRNA from 1 species